UACUUUUUUCCUCUUAAACUUCAAUAGUUAAUUUUGUUUAAGUCAAGAGUUUAACUACUGAUUUGAGAAAAUAAUGUUUAAAAGAAUCAUUUUUAUUUAAUUAACUCUUUUACUAAAAACUAUUAGAAACAAACUUUAAAACAUCUUCAAAUUUUCUAAAAUGACUUAUUUUCAUAAUGAAACACUUGGAAAAAUUUAACUAAACACAUCCCAACUCUUAAGUAGUUGCAUAAUUAAAACUAACAAUGAAACUUGACGAGUUUUUUCAUAACAAAUACUAAAAUUUCAUGACAAAUUUGUAGUUAUAGAUUUAAAAGUAGAAUAACUUAACUAUAUAUAUCAAUCAACGGUCUCUAUAAACCCUAAAUCAUUAAAGUUGAAGAUUAUAAGUAAUUUUUAAAACCUAUAAACCUAUUAAUUUUUAAACCGAUUUAAACAUAACUAAUCAAUCGGUAAAAGCAUGCAAAGAUAGAUCGAAAGGCUAAUCUAAAAUACUACGAUUAUUAAGAAGAUUAUCAGAAGUUUGUUUGUAACAUAACUAAUAAUAAUAUCAAAGAUAUUUUAAAUAUUUAAAACUUGUCAACAUUAUUUGGGGGUCCAGAUCAAAUGAUCGAUGAAAAAUGAUGUCACUAAGAAUUAGAGAAACGUGGAGAAUAUGAUACGAAGAUAACCGCAUCCCAAACUCAUGAUCACGCAUGAGAGAGUGUUUUGUCACUAUAUACUUUCACACAUAUAAACCCCCUUCUUUUAUUGCUUCUUUAAUUUUUCUUCUUUUUCUUAGAUGUAAAUAUAUAUUAAAAAAGAUUAUUAUUUGAUGUAAAUAUAUAAGGUAAAAGAAAAAAGUGUGUGAGAUGAUAAAGAAAAAAGUGCUAUUAGAAGGCCCAUUAAGUGCUAUCUUUUAAAGCACUUUGAGUGAUCUAUGAAAAUUAGUUUCUAUCUAUUUUUUUGUUUUCUUUUUUUCCCAUUUACCAAUUUUAUGUUAAAGUAACUAUUCUUUUUUCCAUUAAUUUUUUUGUUUUUAAAUAUUGCAAUCGUGGUUGCAAUUAUUAAGAAGGAUACGAACUAUUAAUGGAAAGAAUCUUUUUUUUCAUUUAGGGGCCCUUCUUUUUUCUUUCUUUUUCUUCUUCUUUUCUUUUCCUUUUAAAAAAUUAUGAUUUAAGAAAUGGUAUAUAUUUGGAAAAAAAACAUUAUUUUCUUCUUUAUAAUAACAUUUCUUUUGAAGUUUUUGUUACAAUGACUUUUUCAAAUUUUUAGUUUUUUUUUUAUUAUUAUUGGUUAAAGAUUUUAAAAAUAUCUUUUGAAAAAAAAAAACUAAUUAGAGAAAAUAAUAUCAUACAGAAAAAUCAUCACCUUUCCAUUGACUUCAUUUACCCUUGGAGUCAUUUUCAUAUCAAAUUGUUUUAAGGAAAAAAAAAAUUUAUACAAUUUAUUUUCGAUGUACGAUCACUCAAUCAUUAUUACCAACAAAUCAAAUAUUCAAAUAUCACUCUUGUUACGGCAAGUUUACAAAAAUUGCAAAAGAAAAAAAAAUGAUAAUAAAAUCCAUGUCACUUCAAUUGCAAAAGUAACAAAUUUAAAAGCAUAUAGCCGUUUGACAUAUUUAAUUAUUUGUCAUAUUUGCAAUAUGAAAAAAAAAAAAGUACUAUAAACUGUUUCUUUCUAAUUUUUUUGUUAUAUGAUGUAAUUUCUUUAAAAUUAAAAAUAUUUGUAUACAUACGUAUAUGUAUAUAAUAUCAUUCUUGAUUGUUUUCUCACGAUUUUUGACGUAGUUAUCCUAAUAUGACAUUUUAAUACCAUAACUUUAUUAUUCUUGUCCAUGAUUAUUUUUAGUACCUCUAUAGAGCACUAUAGAAAGUUUUCAAAUAGGUCUAGGAAAACAACUUGCAAAGUUCAUCAAAAGAGAGCUAGCAAACUAUGCAAAUUUCUAUCUUUUAGUGGAUGGGAAGUACAUAUAAAGCAAUAGUCAAAUCUAUAGACAAUUGAAAUAUACAACAUUAAUGUUAUCACAGAUGUCUUUGUUUAAUGAUUACACUACACCAAAGUUCAUAGAACUCAUAAGUCAAAAGGAUAAUCUCAAAAAUCUCAUAUUGAAGGUCCAAUUAUUAAUCAUCUAAAUUAGUAACCCAACCACAUGUGGCAAAAGAGAUUGAGUUACAGAAAAAAAGGCUACAUCUUAACUAGUAGAGUCACAAUAGACACGGAAGUACUAUACAACAUUUUAUGAUUUAAGAAUUAAGACAACCAUAAACAAUAAAGUAAAAAGCUAGGCAAAGUUAAAGACAAAAAGGGACAAAUAAUUCAUUGAUACAAAUCAAAUUAGUCGAUGCUUAUAAAUCAAACCUUGAUCAUUAUUUGAUAUCAUUUUUUUAAAGAAAUCACACCCAUAGAGGUGGAGCUCAAACCACAACAUCUUAAUUGCUAACUCAUAUAUGGAAUGCCAAUUAAGGUAGCUUUGCUUUUGACCCUUCAAUUUUAUUUUGUAACAAGUGGAUAGAUUUUAAAAUUUAUAAAUAAUUUAAAAGUUGAAGAAUUGUAUAGACACAAAACUAAAACUAAAACUAAAAAGGGAUGUAUAUGCUAUUUUUAGUUUUUUUUACAAAAAUUGAACCUAAUGAAGGAUAAAAUUUUAGUGAAACUUUUAGUUGGUCUUCAUAUUUUAAUAAAGUCUUGGUAAAUAAUUAGUAUGGAUAAGUGUUAAUUAUAAGAAUUAGAAGGACAAAAUUUCAAUUAAGAGUUAUAAAUUAGUGUGAGUAAUUAAGUUAAUUUUGCUAUUAAGGGUUUAGUCAAAGAAAAUUUAUUGACCAAAUGUGGAUUGAAGAGUAAAGAAGGACACCAAAGGCGCGCUCGCCCUAAUCGCAUUGCCAUAGACAUCGCCGCCUGCCCUCGAACACAAGAUCAGCUCUACGGCGCAGCGCAAACGAAUACACGAAGCGGCUGUGGUUUAUAGGGUUUUACAACCACCGAACAAAUGGAUUCGUUUUCAUCGCCUUCAAGCGGCUCUUCUCCCCAAUUUUCUGCCAAUGAAUUCAGGGAUCAGCUCAAGACUCAGCUUGCUCAGGCCUACGCCGAGGAGUUUCUUGAGGUUUUACUUCUCCCUUACUUGUUUCUUUAAUUACUGAUAUGAUGUGCGGAUGUAUCGUGUAAGAAUAUCUGCACUUGUUAGAGUAAUCGGUUUGAUGAAUGCGAAUUGUUGAGUCUAUAGAUUUUGGAGUAUUCUAUCACAACGUCAAGUUGAAUCAUUUAGGCUUCUUUUGAUGACCAUUUGGAGCUUUAGAAUUGUGCUUGUUUUCUCAACCUUGUAGAUUUUCGUAUUUCUAGGGAAUCAUUUGAACUCCAAAUUCUAAAAUCAAAAAAGAAAAAACGAGUUUUUCAAAACUGUUCUUUUUUUUUUUAUUAGUUUUCAUAACUCGACUUGAAUUUUAAAAAUCCAACUCAUAGGUAGGAAUAGUAUAUAAGUUUCAUUUGCAAAUUACACAACUUAAAUUCUCACUUGUCACUUCCAGUUCAAACUUCUUUUUCAUUUCCUCAUACUCUUUUUAAUAAUUAAAGACGUAGAAAUGUAAAAUUCAGGUGUGGAAGUUCUUUACUGAUCGAAUGCAGUAGAUAAAGAAUACUUAAUGUUAUCUAACUUGUGUUGUUGGAUUGAUUGAUGGAUUUUCUUUUUUUCUUGUUGAUUUUGAAUGGGGAGGGGGAGGGCUAGAGGUAGUACUAUUAGGAGGAACAAAUUUUCCGGAGAAAUCUCCUGAACCUCUAGGCUUCACAAAUGGUUCUUUAACAUUAUGUUAUUGUCCAUGUGUGGUAGAUGACUCGUUCUUUGAUUUAUUUUUGCUCUAGCCUUCUAGGUAUGCAUAAAUCCUUCAUAAUGAUUAGUAAAGACUAUAAUUUUACUUGGUCUCAGCAUUGUUCUACCAUAAGAUCUUUGGAGUUGUCCACACUAUAGACGCUGGGGAAGAAACGGCAUAAAGGUUCAUUGUUCAGCCAAUGGUCCUUCCAAAACAGUGUUUUAUUACCUUUGCCUACCUUUGUCUUGUACCGGUUAUCAGAAAACUGAAUCCACUCCAAAAUAUGGAGUCAAGGGCCCUUUACUUGGCCGGACCUUUCAACAUGGUCUACCAGUCUUUCUCUUCCCAGUUUUUUUGGAAGCGAUCACCUUCCUCCACAAAGCCCUCUAUUCAGUUGAGAAUCUCCAAUCCCAGUUGGCCAAGAGAGCCUAUUUCUAGUUGCUAUUUCUCCAAUGCUCAAACCUCCUAUUGAAGUAGGGACUAGGGAGGGACAUGAGUUCCCAAUUUAUGAGGCUGUUAAUGGGGUGAGGUGCACUCAAUGAAAUAAAUUUUGAAUCAGGAAACUUCUUUUUGGGGGAAAAGUCUCUUCUUUUGGGGAAAUUGUGUGGGUUUUAGGCAAAAUUUGAAUCCAAUUUUGAUUGCCUUAUAAUAAGUUGGUAGAGAAUCCUCGAAGAAGGAAAUCUAAAGGUUGAAUAAGCUAGGAAUGACUUGGAAAAAACGGUGGGAGAGAAUGUCUUGUAAAAAAUCUUUGAAGGAUUGAACUUGGGGAGAGAUGGGGCAGCUUUGAUGUUUGAUCUACAACUUUAUCCACCAUAUCAUAGAGUAUUCAAUUAGGAAAAUCUUUCAUCUGGUGUUCUCUUUCUGAACUUUUGUUGUUAUAAUCUUGUACGUUCCCAUAAAAAAAUAUGAUCAUUUACAGUGUGGGCGUGUUGCCAACUUGAAUUCCUUUUUUAAGCUUUUCUAUUAGGGACAUCUCAUCUCUCUCUCUCUUUUUUAUGGUCUCUCCAUCAAUAUAUUUCUCAAUUUCAGUAAGGGUUAAAAUCAAAUUACAUGUUUUUUUUCCUCUGUUGAUUCUUAGACUUUAAUUUUUGUGAAUAAAAUUUAGUAGCUUUGUUUAUGGGAUAGAUCUCAUGGGGUAGGACAUUGAAGAUAUUGAUGUCAGUUAUAAUUUCCAUGCUGUGUGUUUCUUUCGAUUGUCUUGAGGGUUUUAAGGGAGAACACUUUUGGAAAUGUGUUGUGGUAUUUGCUGGUUCCUUUACUUCGUUUGCUGUCUGCACCUUGUGUGUGCUUAAAAUCUUGCAUUUUUCUUGCACAGACCUUAAGAGUGAAGUGCUUUGACAAGUGUAUCACAAAGCCAGGGUCAAGCUUAAGUGGAAGUGAGAGCAGUUGCAUCUCUAGGUGCAUGGAGCGUUAUAUUGAAGCAACCAGCAUCGUCAGUAGAGCCCUCUUUAAGACACCACACUAAAGGAACAGGUUUUCCUGAGACAUUAUGAGGUCGAGGUAUCUUCAGCAACCACCAACCUACAUUAUUUUUCUCGGUUAGAUAUUUGUUUUCCAGCUCUAAAAUCUUUCUUGAGGAGACAAGUUUUUGAUCUGUGCCCCAUAGAUAAUAUCGGUAUCACGUUCUUUAUUUGCUUAACAUGUGAACUUCGGGUCAUUUAAACUCUCAUUUCUUCUGAUUUAACAUGCUUCAAUCGGGUUUAUUACCAUUUGGGGGUUCAUGGUUCAUCUAUUAAUGCAAACUGCUCAACCUAGAAUAAAUAGUGUACUCUUCAAAAUUUUGAAGUUGAGUUAAUCUGUUGCCUUGAUUUUUAUACACUUUUCCAGCUUCUCAUAGAAUAAAUAGUGUACUCUUCAAAAUUUUGAAUAAAGGAAUCAACACUUUUACUUGAAAGUUGAUUUAAGUCAUUCGUUAAUUUUACACAACAUUAUAAAAGUCAUAAUUGGUUGAUUAAUUAUAGUAUUUUUCUUGCGUUCGAUAAACGUUAUAAAGAAUCUUCAACUUUUGUAAUAAUAAAGAAUCUCAUCAAGAUCAUAACAAAACGCUAAAUCGUUUUUCCUAUGUUUUUCUCUUAUUCUUUCCUCUUCUUUUUCCCUAUAUUGUCACAUACUUGAAGAAAAAAAAGUUUUAAAUAUAUAAUAUAUGCUAUAAAGAAAUUCACAAUUCACGUAUUGUCUUCCGAAUCAAUCAUUUUUUCCCUUUCACAUACGAUGCCGACAAGAAAAACAUUCACAAUACUAAAAAUUGGAGGUCUUUCUUUAUUUCUUUCUUUCUUAAAGUAAAAUCAAUGGUUGGAGUUUAUAUCUAUAACAUUUCAUUUUUUUAAAAAAAAAAUCAAAAUUACUAUGCUAGAUAAGAUCUUUUAUUUGUUAGAGUUUAUCUAGAAUUGUUUAUUUAGGACAGUGUUUGAUGCCAUCCAUUAUAGUAGAGAUAAGAUUUUUAUUUGCCAGUCUUAUCUAUAUACUAAACUUUUUUACAAAAUUAUUUGAGAACACUAUGUUAGAUAAGUUGUUUAUUCACUCAAUUAGAUAAGGAAAGAACCACUCAUGUAACAUUAAUGAAAAAGAAAGACAAAGAUAUUAGAAUUUCAAUUUUGUAUUAAUAGAUGUUUAAUUUGUACGCUUAGAUAUUUAAUUCAACAAUCAAAUACACAAUCUAUUCUGUUCAUACUAAAAUAAAUAAAUAAAGAUCAUCUUUAUAUAUUCUUAUUCUAUUUCCAGAGUUUUCAUAUUGGUACUUUAAUAAUGUAGCGUGGAAAUUGGUUCGUAAUUGACCCAUCAUCAAAAUGGUAACUUUUUAAUAAAUUUCUUCAACGAUUUCUGCUGUCGACAUAAAAAGGGUAACAAAACAGCAAAAUUUGAAAAAAGAAAAAAAUAUAGAGUAGAUUACUGUUGAUCAUAUAUAUAUAUAUAACAUCCACUAGUGCUUUGAAAACAAAACAAACAAAAAUUGUCAUGAAUCAAUUAGAUUCAUAUAUUGUUCACAUUUAGGAGAUUGCCAACGUAGAGGUUGGUCAGUGCUUCAAUUAUACGUAUAUAAUAUAUAUCACUAAUUUUUUUUAAUCUUCAUGUUCAAUCCUUUUUAAACAUAAAUGUUUGUUAUAUGCUCGUUAUAUAUAAUAUAUAAAAAAAAAGCAGUCAUUAUAUUAGUAUCAUGAAUUGUUAUAGGAAUUGGUAAUAGGGAUUGCUUGAUACAACCUUGAGUCGGUUGCAUGGUAUGUUUGGCAUAAAAGAUUUGUAGAAUAAAUUAAUUAACAAGAUUGAUCAAAAUAAGCUUAUUUUUUUCUUCCAUCAAAACAGUCGUUUUUAGAAAUUUAAGAACUAAAAUAAAAUGAAGUACAAAGUUUAUAAACCAAAUAAGAAAAAUUUAUAUACUACAACAUACACAUAUGGUGUGGAUACAUUUAAAAAUAUGGUAGGAUCUACCGAUAUUAGAUUGGUGUGGGAUCCAUAAAAUUAAUGAUAAAGGUAACCUUAGAAAUGCAAACACAUGGAAUAUGGUAGCAUUAGAGUAGCAGAACAUUUUUUGGAGUAUCAUCUUCCAUACCUCCGUUCAUGUGUGUCUUUAUUAUAUGCAACCCUUUCUACAUCACUCUCACCCCUUUCUUUUAAACAUUAACUCUUUCUCUCUUUUUUUUCUUUCUAUAUAUUACUAAUUUUGAUUUGUUUCAUUUCCUCUCUACUUUAAUCAAUUUCCAAGUCUUCACAUUUUCCUUUAUAUAUUUCUUUAUCUUUUACUUUCAACCCAAUUUCAACCAUUUCACACUCCACUAUCGUACUAGAAACUUUUUCGAUGUUAAAAGAUUGUAAUUGUAAACUUUAAUUUCACAAUUUCACUCUAGAUUUUAAACACUUUAAAAAUUGGCAUCACAUAGAGUGAAAUCUCUCCAUACUAAUCCCGAGCAAAAUUAUUAAAUACUUGUCACAACUUUUAAAACUAAGCACGUACAAAAUUUAUAACCUUUAACUUUUUCUUCUCUUACCAAAAAAAGAGAAGGAAUUUUUUGUCUUUACAUUUUAGAUUAUUAUUAUUCAAGUCUUGACAUGUAAUAAACUAAUAUUAUUAAGAUGACGUUCUUGACUUAAUUUCAUGGUUAAUUGAAAACAUCAAAAAAUCAUUUUUAACUAUUUUGUCCUUUUUCUUUUCUUUUCAAUAAUGAGGUUCUUUUCCAAUGUAAUUUGUCUUUUGUUUCAUUAUAUAAAUUAAUAUUUCACAAAUAAUUACACAUACAAAGUAAAUUUCAACAUCUUCAAAUCAAACUUUUCAAUUAGAAAGAGUUUGAGUUAAGAAAAUAAUUAUUAUAAUCUUGCCCUCUUAUUUGUUCAUAAAAUCAAUCGGUAGAUCUAAUAGAUCUACGUUCAACUAUAAUAAUACCCAUUUACACAAUAAUGAAAGUUAGAAGUUGGGUUGAUUUAAUAGUAAUAAUUGAUGGUUUUAAAAUAUAUUAUUUUAAUCAUAGUUAAUGAAAUUUAUUUUAUAUAGUAAUUAAGAUGUGUGAAAGAUCAACUCCCAAUCAGAUCCAAGUCAGCAAGUCAAUUUAGUAGAAUUGUUUUAUCAUUUUAAACAAUAAUUCAAAUGGGAUCACCUCAAAAAUCAAAUUCAAUCAACUCUAAAAUUGAUUAUAUUUAUGCAUAUCUUCCAACUACAACUACAAGAAUGUUCACUUUCAGCUAUAUACAGCUCAUCAAUUCUCAUCAAAUUAAUCAUAGCAUUAAAUUCAAGUUGUAUAAUCACACCAAUUUCAAAAACAAACCCAACAAAAUAAAAACCUAAAAAUAAAUUAAAUACUACCUCAAGUUUUAUUUCUAAAUUAUCAUUCGACUAAUUGGCAUCACUUUCAAGAUUACGAAAGAUCAAAAAUUAUUUAUGAAGACCAAAUCAAAAGGUUGAUGUAUGUGGAGUACAUAGCUACUACGUGAAUAUUUGGAAAUAUGGUUUUUGAAAAUGACUUCGGAUCGGUCGAUCUCAACCAACCGAAAGACAACAAGGGGAAGAGUUAUGAUAUAUACCUACUUCCAUUUAGACUCAUUCUCUCUAAUGACUAAUUCCUCACUCGUUUUGGUAUUUCUUUCUUUCCUUUUCUCUUAUUUACAUUUCCUUUUCUUCGUAUAUUGCCAAACAUGCAAAAUUUAAAAUUAAUUACCUCCCUUUUUCUGUACUACCUGUAACGCAGCCAUCAAGUCUUUAAUUUGUUUUUUCCAUGAAAGAUUCAUCUAUCUUCUUCAACAUCUAACAUGCAAAUGCAUGUAUAAGUUAUUCAUUCCUAGCUAUAUUCUCUCUCUCUCCUACAUGCAUGGCCAACCCAAUUAAUAAUCCAAGUCUACUCUUAACUUUUCUUUAAUACACCAACUUGAUUCUUUAAAUUUAUCUCAAAACGUUUAGAUCAUGUCAAUAACUCACUCACACCGUAACUAUAACGAUACAUUAUUCAAAAUUUGUUACUAUUUUAUUAUGUGAGAGGAAAGAUUGAGUAUAUUACAUAUUAUUCAAAAUUUGUUACUAUUUUAUUAUGUGAGAGGAAAGAUUGAGUAUAUUAUUAUAUGUAUAUAUGUUAAUAUUUUAACUGCUAUGAUGCAUAUAGGAUUUUUUUUAUUAUUAAUAUUUUUACAUCAUAGUGUGUUUUAAAAUAUAGUAAAUAUUAUAAUUUUAAUUGUUGUAACCCUUCACACACGUCAAAUGUUAAUCUUCUAAAAUAUGACCCCUUCACACACGGCACAGCUUUUGCUUUACAUCAGUAUCACAAUAUGCCAAACUCCCCCCACUUAAAUGCAUGAUGUAUAUCCCCCCCCAAUUCUUUCUAUACUAUAAUGUGGAUAUUGUUACAAGUAGAGAUUUGAACUAGAUAACCUCACUGGAUUUAUAUGUAUUCAUGAAAAUUGUCAAGAGAAAAAAGACGAAAUUCAAGUGAAGAUCAACCACAUCCAAACAUCCAAUGAUUCCACUAGACCAUGAAAAGAAAAAGAGAUUAAACCAAAGACUUUAAUUGACCUACUCAACCUUUAUCCUUAUUUCCAUGAAUGGGUCAUACUUCUUAAAACAAUUAUUUUAUCUUAGAAACGAGAUGUGAUAUCCAAUUUUUAACUAUUUGAGUGUGUGAUUUGUGACUCCGUCUUUUUUACGAGCUUUUGUUUUAAGUUUUUUUUUCUGCAGCUGCUGUCCGUUCCAUUGUUCGUAUCUGUUACAUGCAGAUUCAGUGUUUCUAUUAUUGAUGCUUGACAUAUCAUUAUGUAUACAUGUGUGAGUGUGUGUAUAAAAGAAAGCAAAAUUGUAAUAUAUGUUCAUAAAUAUUGGAGAGAACGUGAAACACACAAACAAAAUUUCCACAAAAAUUAAAUAUUUUUGUUCCGAAGAAAAGCUAAGUCAAGAGUCCCACACCAAACUUAAAUAAUCCACGCGUUUUAAGCACUCUCUCUUAAAUACACUUACCUUUCCAACUCUUUUAUACAUUUAUUUCCAAUUUUGGAUCUUAGCAAUUUUUCUUUUUUUUUGCUAUUUCUCUUGUUUACAUUUUCUCAUACAAUUUAAUACCCCUAAAUAAAUCUCUUAAGGAUAAUAUAUACACAAUAAAAAGACCGUUUCAACCAUGAAAAUAUGACACUAAAUAGAAAAAGGUCGACAAAAACGACGUGAUGUUUCAUAUCGACAUUUUAUAUUGACUUUUGAUAGUUUCAUGACUACAAGGCUAUAUAAUGUUUUUAUUCUUUCCUUUAUAAAAAACAAAACUUCUGAUAAAUACAUGACAACCAUUCAACCUAAAAUUAAUCAAGUUUAAUUGUGGAGUGUCUGAAUUUAGAACAAGAUUUCCAAAUCUUGCUUCUAGAUCUUUGAUCUAUGAAGGUAAUUUUCUCUUGAUUGAUCCAAAUUAAUUAAGAAUGUGUUAGUUUCUUAUUUCAAAGGUUCUUGCUAUGUAAUAGCUUGAAUUUUUUGGAUUUUUGGAUUAGGAUAAUUAUCUUAUCCCAUGCCCUGUUACCAAUGAAUGAACAUAACCUGUUGUGGACUUUGCUAUAUUUCCUAUCCUACUUUACACUAAUUACACAAAUACAACUCACAAUUUAAUUUCAUCUCUUUUUCUUUCAAUUCCUCAAUUACAACUUCCAGGCGUUAAUCAAAUUUAAUUAAUUAAAUGAAUUUGUAACUUAUGUAUAGUUACGGACAUCUAAUUAUAAUUAAUGGACAAUUUACCACCCUUCUUUUUAUCAUUUUAAUUUAAAUUCGUUUUAUUUUUUGUUGAUUGGUCUAAACAAAGUUCACUAAGGUCAGUAAUAUAUGAUAUCACUAAUUACAAGAAGAUUUGUAUUUGAAUUCUAAGAAAGAGCAACUCGUUUCUCAUCAUAUUUAAAUUAAUACUUUCACCAUCCACAUGCGGUGUUACUAUUUUAAAUACUAAACUCUAAUGUUGUGUAGGUGAGACUUUCAUAUCUAAAAAAGGAAUUCAAAUUCAGAUUUUAUAUUACUUUAAUAAAUAUGUAUCUCUGAUUAACAGACAAGAUUUUGUUUUUUAAUACUCUGUUUUUUAUUAGAAAAUCAAAACGGUGCAAAAAAAAAAAAAAAAAAAAACCCAUCAAUUAUAUGAUAUUAACAAAUAUAAUAUUUCACGUUAUAGAUUCAAUUAUUUUUAUUAAAUUAAAAUAUGUAUAUUAUAAAUCAUAUGAUAAUAGAUGAAAAUGGUUUUAAAUAAUAAAUUAUUGAAAUAUUUAUAAAUAAAUUAGCUAAUUUUGUUCAAUUAUUUGAAACAUCCAUGCAAAAAUAAUUAUUAUACAAAAUUUACACUACAACAAAACAAUGUAAGUUUCAGUGACGCAAUAUAUUUGCUGCAAAUUCCACCUUUCUAAAUUUAUAUGUAAUUCGUUUUAAUCACAACCUUCAACUUACAAUUUGAUCGAUUACCUUUUAAAAAUUUGUUAAUGUUGUAAUUUACGAAGGGGUAUUUUCAAAUUAAAAAAUAAAGAUUUUCUCUCAUUUCACAUCUCACAUCUAUUAAUUCUCUCUCCCUUCUCCUUCCACCUCUCCUCUCACGCUCUUCACCUUCUUCCUUACUUUCAACAAUGGUCAUAUAACGGCGUUAAUGAUAUUUCUCUUUUCAAACCCUCUAAUUCUGCGAGCUUGAACACUAAUUCUGAAGACGACUAUUCCAAAGAUUACGACUAGGGUAAAAGAGAAACCAAGUCCCAUGAGAAUUUAGAGGGUAUUUGUUAUAUCUUUGAUAUUUCUCUUUUCUGUAUUUACUAAUUUGAAAAUCUUCUUUCCCUUCUUGUCUGGGUGAUGUCAUCGUUACUUCCCCGGUUUUCGUUUUAUUGACUUUUCCCUUGGGGGUUGAGUUUUCAUUAGCUUCUCUCAAUUUCCUACACACCGAUAUGAAGAAUUUAAGGAAUGGAAAAUCAAGUUUAGAGAAAGAAUUAUUGUUGCUAUCUUGGGGCCUAAAGUAAUUAACCAAACUGUAGGGGAAGAUGAAUGACAUGGUUAAACAAAAAGUUCAUUUCUUGUAUGUAUACAAAUGAAUAUACAAUAUGGAAGAUUAGUUAGCUUCAAACAUGCAAAUGACCAUUUAUUGAAAGCAAGGGAUCGAGAAGAAGAUGAAGAUGGUGAGAGAAGAUGGAGGGAGAAGACAGAUGAAGAAUGUGAGAUGUGAGAAAAUCUCUCUCUCUCUCUAUAUAUAUAUAUAUAUUUAAUUUCAAAACAACAGAUCAUAAUUACAAUCGGCUAAUUGCAACAAUUGACAAACCUUAAAUACAUAAUUGAUCAAAGUAAAAACUAAUGAGUAUGCAUGAUUGUAACCAAUCCCAUGGUUAGGAUGGUUUAAUUUAUGCAGUUGUUUCUAAUUAAUAAUACAUUGUCAGAUUCAUUUGAAAUAAUGGUUUAAAAUGAAAUUUAAUUUCUAAAUAUGCUACAAAUUAUAUGUUGAAAAAUACAGAAUACACAAUUAUAUUUGGUGGAAUGUUUGUUUUCAAAUUUCCAUUUCUAGUUACCUAGACCUACCAAACAUGUUCUUUCGUCUUUUGUCAAACGUUACCUAAUAAGUUAUGAUUAACCGAGCUACUCAAUCCAAUCAUCAUAAAACUUAAAAAUUUAUAUUAGUUGAACUAAACUCAUUUUGAUAAUUAAGUUAAUUAAAUUCUAUAUAUGGCUCUCCAACCCACUCUUACCAACUAAUCUUUGAAACUUAGGGAAAGUAGUAGUGUGUUAGGCAACAAUUAAUAUAAAAUAAAUUUCAAUUGAUGAGUGAAGUCUAAAAGUUACAAAGUAAUCAUCAAGUGCACAAAAGAUGAAAAAGUGAUCACAUAAGCUAAAUAAAAUGUUAAAGUAUCAUAUUAGCGUAUGUUUUAACUAAAUUAAACGGUAAUUAACAUAAGUGAAAUAUUUGAUCUCUCAUUUAUACUGUUGUUAUACUAAAAAGAAUAGCAUACGUCUAUGAUGAACUUUUAAAUUGUUGUAAUUAUUUUGUCAUGUUAAAAAAUUACUAAAAAACAUUUAACUUUAUAUUUUUAUUUUCAAAUAUAGCAAAAUAAACUAAAAUAUUUACGCAUAUAGUCAUUUUAUAUCAAUUAUAACACUGUUUUUUUUUCUUUGAACAAUAUGUGAAGCGGAGAUGGAGCCUUAGAUCUUCAAAUUAAUAUUACAAGUUGAGCUAAAUUUUGCAUAAUCUCUCGCUUAUUGUUGACAAUCUUUUAGAGUGUUGGAGCCCCCAAUUUAUCUUAAUUAGAGUGGCCAUUACUAGAUUAUUUGUACCCUCGUUAUAAUAACACUCAUGCUUAAUUAGCCACAGUAAGACCAUUUAAAACCUCCAUUGUCCAUGGUGUUUAAUAUUUUGUAAUCAUUCUCUCUAAACAAAGAUUAUUAAUUAUAAUUCAUAUACUAUAAUAAUCAACGCAACGCUUUACACAACCAUUUACAAUUUAAUUUAAUAUAUCUAUAUCAUCGUAAACAAACAAGUGUAUUAUUAUUAUUAUUUAUUUAUUUAAUAAGUAGUGACAUAUGUAUAAAGAUACUCAAUGUGUGUCAACGAUUGUCUAUCCAAAAUGGAUCUAAAAGGACAUAUAAAGAAAGACUUUCUUAGUACCACACACUAUCAUAUGCAUAUUUAUUUUAUUCAAAAUUUCGACACAUCAUUGAAUUAUUUAUUAUUACCUCAAAAAAAAAAAAAAAACUUUUAUUGUUUAAUUCUAGAGACCCUACCACAAUUGAUACAAUCAAUCAACACACCACACACCUUGUACGUCAUGCAAAAUUCGUCAUCUAUCGUCGGCACCUUUCCUAUAAGAAGCAAUGAUUUGCUGUCAAGGAAAUUACAGCAACGCAUUUUCCUUCUCCUCAAUUAAUUUUUUUUUAUAAAAAUAACCCUUUUCUUUUUUUCUUUUUCCUUUUUUCUACUCCGGCCGGCGAUGUCCGCUUCCGGCCACACCAAGUUGCUUGUCACAGAUCUCGCUGCCACUGUACAACAAGUUCCCUCAAGGUACGUCCGCCCAAUCUCUGACCGUCCAAACUCCUCCGAUGUCAGACCAUCCAACACCUAUUCUUUCUCUGUCAUUGACCUUCACGCCCUCGACGGCCCCUCUCGCCCCGAUGUCAUUUACCAAAUUCGCCGUGCUUGUGAACGCGACGGUUUCUUUCUGGUAAUCAUUUCUUUAAAUUCGAUUACAUGUGUAUUUUUAUUUUUGUUUUUGUUUUUUUGUAGUCUUCAGUUUAUUUAAAUUUCUAAGUGAAGAAUAUUAACAUUUAACUAACAAAAUAGUUACUUAGAAUUAGAUGCAUGCAUGCAUAUGAUUUUCAAAUGAGAUGAUCUUUGAUUUAAUUUUUAAGUUGUUAAUUGCUUAAUAAAGUUUAAGAGGUUAAUUCAUAAAGUUGUAGUAAAUGUGAUGGAAGAUAUUAUAAGUUGAUAAACUUACAGAAGCCUAAGUUAAAACUGAUAUAAUAAUUUUUUAAGUUUAAGGUUUAAAUUAAUAUAUUUUACUAUAAAUUUUGAACUCCAUUUCAAUUAUACUUAUUUUUUAUGUUCCAAAAAUACAUCUUUUAAUAGUAGAAAUUGACUGUGGAGAUUUGAAUAACACAUGUGCAAAUGUCAGUUGACACUUUUGUUUACAAAAGAAAUGUAUUUAUUGGUAAAAGAAGACUAAAACAUGGAUGCAGAUAAAAAGUCAACAGCAUAGUUCACUUAAAAUAAACUUUCUGUGUAAACAUUUAUUAUAAGUUGAAUUCUUUGCAACAAAUUUCAAGAUUCAAACGUUGAUCAAUUUUUUCUUUUUGAAGUUCGAACUUUGAAAAGUUCGAAAGAUUUGGAUAAUUUAAACUACAAAUUUCUUACUCGGAAAUAUAUGUGUAGGUUAGUUGAGAUUAUAAAUCAAACUUUACUUCUAAAUUUAUUAUAUAUAAUUUAACCAAAUAAUAAACGUGGGCACAAAAAAGUUUGUGUAGUAUUAUAUUAAAGGAGUGGGGCUUGGUGUGACAGGUGAAAAACCAUGGAGUGCCGGAGGAAAUGAUCAAUGGAGUGAUGCGUAUAACGAGGGAGUUUUUCCGGUUGCCAGAAAGUGAGAGACUAAAGAGCUAUUCCGAUGACCCGACGAAGAAGACGAGGUUGUCCACGAGUUUCAAUGUGAAGACAGAGAAGGUGGCAAAUUGGAGAGAUUUCUUGAGACUUCAUUGUUACCCUCUUCAUCUUUAUGUCGAUGAAUGGCCCUCCAACCCUCCUUCCUUCAGGUGUGACACCUUUGUCGUUUAAAAAUAUUUCUUAAUUUUAAAAAGAGAAAAAAAUGCAUUUUCGUUAUCUUUGUUCUUUUGACCCUACGUAACAUUGGGAGUGGAGUGAUUGAAUGAGAGUCGAGUAAAAGAAAAUAAAGCUACUGAAUUGUUUUUAUAUGAUAUCAUAUUGACCUUAUUACUUGUGAAUGUUUGUAGAAAAGAAGUGGCUGAGUAUUGUACUACUAUGAGGCAAUUGACCUUAAAGCUGCUAGAGGCCAUUUCUGAGAGCUUGGGGCUGCCAAAGGACUCAAUAGCAAACUCAAUUGGAAGUCAUGGCCAACAUAUGGCCUUGAACUACUAUCCUCCAUGUCCACAGCCAGAUCUCACUUAUGGCUUGCCAUGCCACACUGACCCCAACCUCAUCACUCUUCUCCUCCAAGACCAAGUCCCCGGCCUCCAAGUCCACCGCGACGGUGCUUGGGUCGCCCUCAACCCUAUCCCUAACACCUUCAUCAUCAACAUCGGUGACCAGAUGCAGGUAUAUUAGUUUCCUAAGCAUAGAUUUGAGUAUUGUACUGACUUAAAUGAUUUCUUAUAUGUAUUCAAAAUAUUUUCUCAAAAAUCAUGUAUGUAUAUUUUUUUUCUCGAUAAUUUAUCCCUCCACCCAACCUUUUCCCCUCUUCAUAUCCACAACCACCUGUUGGUGCCGUUCAUUAUCAUGAAUAUGAUACAUAAGUUUAGAGGCUAAAUCAGAACGUUUUUUUUGGUGGUAGGUGCUGAGUAAUGAUAGAUACAAGAGUGUACUUCAUCGGGCUGUUGUGAACAAUUCAACAGAGCGAAUUUCGAUACCGACGUUUUACUGUCCGUCGCCAGAGGCAAUGAUCGGGCCAGCAAAGGAGCUGAUCCACGACGAACAUCGACCUGCUUUUAGAAACUUUACUUAUUCUGAAUACUACCAGACUUUUUGGAGUGGAGAACUUGAUACUCGAAGAUGUUUAGAUUUGUUUAGGAUUUAAUGAUUUAUAUCGUCCAAUUAAUUAGAGUACUUGGGUUAUUUCAAAUUUUCAAAAUUGAUUUCCUCCAUUAAAGAGUACUCGAAGAAUGUACCAAAGUCAUCAAGUUUAGAGUUAAAAAGUCUUUUGUUUGGAGUGGAAAAGUAGUAAGAUAGAUCAAUUAUUCACUAAAUGUGAUGACUUCAAUGGUAAACACCAUUGAAGUAUUAAAGUUUUGAAUUAUUUAACAUCACUGUACCUUGUACGUUAUGAAGUCUAUAAGCCAAAUAUUGUUUAGUAAUUUUGUACGUUGUUAUGUUCACCACAUUUCAAUAUGUAAUUUUUAUCAUUUUCAUAUUAUUAAAAUUAGUUCUUAAAAGCAUAUGUUAUAAAGCAAAUUUUUCAAAAAUUAAUCAUAGAGAAAUUUUGAACCUUCUAAAAUGAUUUUAAUCAUGGCAAAAUUACUCUUAAACAUAAAUUUAAUAUAUAAAAAUCUUAAAUUAUUUAAUUAAUCAGUAUGUUUCUAUUCAUAAAAAGAGAAAUACUUUCUUAAAUUUAUUAUAAUGUAAUAUGAUUAUGUUAUUUUUUAAAAAAAAAUAAAAAAAUAUGACAAACUAUUUACACUCCAUACAACAAAAUUACAAAAAAGACAAAAUUUAUUACUUGAUUUGAUUUUUUUUUUUUGUCAAAUAUUAUAUUUUUUUAUCAUUUUUCUUUAAUUUAAAUAUAUCAUCAUUUAUAUCAGCUAAUUUUAUUUAGAGGAAUUGUCAUAGUAAAAAAAAGUAAAAAUAGAGAGAAAGAAAAGAGAAAAAAGCUAAACUUUUUAAAAGGAAAUAGAAAACUCAUUGCCAUAGGAGACCAAACAAUAAACAUUAGGUUGUAGCCUAAACAAUCUUGAAGACCACAAAUGUUCAUAUUUGUUGAAAGAAUUGUUCAACUAAGAUCUUAAAAAGCACAAUGAACAACCGUGAAGAACUCAAACUUCCCAACGCUCGUAACAUUGAAUACGUACUGGAAAGCUCAUACGUCUCUUUGGCUAGCAUAUCAUGCUUAUCGACUGCAGUUGAACUUAGGAACGAUACUACUCUACCUAACUCAGAUGUUAACCUACAAGCAAAUCUCACACCUCAGUACCACAAUAAGCUUUAAAUCUGAUUUUUAACCUUUUUCAGUCCACUUUAGGAAAUUCCAUUAACGAUUCUUUAAGCUAUCACGUUAACUUUUCAUCUAGUGGAUGACUCCUGGGAAGAUUCGGUAAAUUUUUUCAAGGAAACCCAAAUGAAAAAUAGACAAUUUCUUCUUUUCUAUCGAAUCAGUUAUCGGACCUUUUUC
rnacentral:lncRNA from 1 species